UACGUAGGGGGCAAGCGUUGUCCGGAAUCAUUGGGCGUAAAGCGCGUGUAGGCGGCUCGAUAAGUCUGCUGUGAAAGUCCAGGGCUCAACCCUGGGAUGCCGGUGAAUACUGUCGAGCUCGAGUCCGGAAGAGGCGAGUGGAAUUCCUGGUGCAGCGGUGAAAUGCGCAGAUAUCAGGAGGAACACCAAUGGCGAAGGCAGCUCGCUGGGACGGUACUGACGCUGAGGAGCGAAAGCCAGGGGAGCAAACGGG
rnacentral:rRNA from 1 species